UACGAAGGGGGCUAGCGUUGCUCGGAAUCACUGGGCGUAAAGCGCACGUAGGCGGGUUGUUAAGUCGGGGGUGAAAUCCUGGAGCUCAACUCCAGAACUGCCUUCGAUACUGGCGAUCUCGAGUUCGGGAGAGGUGAGUGGAACUGCGAGUGUAGAGGUGAAAUUCGUAGAUAUUCGCAAGAACACCAGUGGCGAAGGCGGCUCACUGGCCCGGUACUGACGCUGAGGUGCGAAAGCGUGGGGAGCAAACAGG
rnacentral:rRNA from 1 species